rnacentral:rRNA from 1 species
CUAGCCGUAAACGAUGGAUACUAGGUGUUGUGAGUAUCGACCCUCACAGUGUCGUAGCUAACGCGUUAAGUAUCCCGCCUGGGGAGUACGCGCGCAAGCGUGAAACUCAAAGGAAUUGACGGGGGCCCGCACAAGCGGUGGAGUAUGUGGUUUAAUUCGAUGCAACGCGAAGAACCUUACCAGGACUUGACAUGUCGCGAAUCUCAGGGAAACUUGAGAGUGCCUUCGGGAGCGCGAACACAGGUGGUGC